GAAGUUGGGGUGGGAUCCCAGCCUUCCCUUCAAGAGGCAGGGAGCUCUGGGAGGUGGAGUCCCCACCGCUUUCUCUACUAGGCUCCUCCUGUUCCCCAGGCUUGGGGAGCUUUGCACAAGGAGACUGCCCCCAGCCUAGUGGCACCUACCUCAUGGGCUCUGGGGCAGGUAGGGGAAGGGCCAGUCCAGCUCUGGUAAUGCUGGGGGGAGGCAUACCAAAGAAUCCAGGGGCAGGGAGUGGGGAGGGUGACUUCCGAGCUGGCCUCUCCCCUUCCUCUACCCAGACUGGGGCUGGGAUCCUCUCCUCCCGCUGUAACCAUUUCUACCUCAUUUUGCUGCGUGUUGUACAUGGACGUAUUUAUCUCCUGUCUGACGAUGCUCUGCAGUUGUGGUCUGUCUACCUCAGAAGAGACUGUAUUUUAAAAGAAAGUAUUACACAGUAUUAAAGCGAUGACAUGUGGUUUGCAGAA
rnacentral:lncRNA from 1 species